GUGGGGAAUAUUGGACAAUGGGCGAAAGCCUGAUCCAGCCAUGCCGCGUGUGUGAAGAAGGUCUUCGGAUUGUAAAGCACUUUAAGUUGGGAGGAAGGGCAGUAAGUUAAUACCUUGCUGUUUUGACGUUACCGACAGAAUAAGCACCGGCUAACUUCGUGCCAGCAGCCGCGGUAAUACGAAGGGUGCAAGCGUUAAUCGGAAUUACUGGGCGUAAAGCGCGCGUAGGUGGUUUUGUAAGUUGGAGGUGAAAUCCCCUGGCUCAACCUGGGAACUGCCUCCAAAACUGCAUGACUAGAGUACGGUAGAGGGUAGUGGAAUUUCCUGUGUAGCGGUGAAGUGCGUAGAUAUAGGAAGGAACACCAGUGGCGAAGGCGACUACCUGGACUGAUACUGACACUGAGGUGCGAAAGCGUGGGGAGCAAACAGGAUUAGAUACCCUAGUAGUCC
rnacentral:rRNA from 1 species